rnacentral:rRNA from 1 species
CCUACGGGCGACAGCAGUGAGGAAUAUUGGUCAAUGGGCGCGAGCCUGAACCAGCCAAGUAGCGUGAAGGAUGACUGCCCUACGGGUUGUAAACUUCUUUUAUAAAGGAAUAAAGUGAGGCACGUGUGCCUUUUUGUAUGUACUUUAUGAAUAAGGAUCGGCUAACUCCGUGCCAGCAGCCGCGGUAAUACGUAGGUGGCAAGCGUUAUCCGGAUUUACUGGGUGUAAAGGGCGUGUAGGGGGUAUUGCAAGUCAGAUGUGAAACCCACGGGCUCAACCUUUGAACUGCAUUUGAAACUGGAGGUCUUGAGUACUGUAGAGGCAGGCGGAAUUCGUGGUGUAGCGGUGAAAUGCGUAGAUAUUAGGAGGAACACCAGUGGCGAAGGCGGUCUGCUGGACAGCAACUGACGCUGAGGCGCGAAAGCGUGGGGAGCAAACAGGAUUAGAUACCCGGGUAGUC